rnacentral:rRNA from 1 species
UACGAAGGGUGCAAACGUUGCUCGGAAUUAUUGGGCGUAAAGCGCGCGUAGGCGGCUUGGCAAGUCGGAUGUGAAAUCCCUCGGCUCAACCAAGGAAGUGCAUCCGAAACUGCCGAGCUUGAGUACUUAAGAGGAUCGCGGAAUUCCCGGUGUAGAGGUGAAAUUCGUAGAUAUCGGGAGGAACACCAGUGGCGAAGGCGGCGAUCUGGGAAGAUACUGACGCUGAGGUGCGAAAGCGUGGGGAGCGAACAGG